CUACGGGUUGCACCAGUGAGGAAUAUUGCACAAUGGGGGGAACCCUGAUGCAGCAACGCCGCGUGGAGGAUGACGCAUUUCGGUGUGUAAACUCCUUUUAUAUGUCAAGAAAAUGACGGUAGCAUAUGAAUAAGCACCGGCUAACUCCGUGCCAGCAGCCGCGGUAAUACGGAGGGUGCAAGCGUUACUCGGAAUAACUGGGCGUAAAGUACGCGUAGGCGGGUUGGAAAGUCAGGUGUGAAAUCCUACAGCUUAACUGUAGAACUGCACUUGAAACUUCUAAUCUAGAGUAUGGGAGGGGGAGAUGGAAUUAGUGGUGUAUGGGUAAUAUCCGUAGAUAUCACUAGGAAUACCUAAAGCGAAGGCGAUCUCCUGGAACAUUACUGACGCUAAGGCGUGAAAGCGUGGGGAGCAAACAGGAUUAGAUACCCGUGUAGUC
rnacentral:rRNA from 1 species